rnacentral:lncRNA from 1 species
UACAAAACUUUUUAAAAAUAAGUACAUAAUAAAAAUUUAACAUUCAGAUUAAAUUUAAUUUAAUCUAAACAUGCAUAAAAUCAAAUCUUAAAAUCAUGUAAUAGGAUCUAUAUAUGUGAGAUAGGAUUCAGAUAUAGAAAUUAAAUAGAGAAGAUCUUAUCUUCAUACCUUAGUGUAGGUUGAUCUACACCACAAAUUAAUGAUCGAUUGUGGAUGUCUUCC